UACGUAGGGUGCAAGCGUUAAUCGGAAUUACUGGGCGUAAAGCGUGCGCAGGCGGUUUUGUAAGUCUGUCGUGAAAGCCCCGGGUUCAACCUGGGAAUUGCGAUGGAGACUGCAAGGCUUGAAUCUGGCAGAGGGGGGGUAGAAUUCCACGUGUAGCAGUGAAAUGCGUAGAGAUGUGGAGGAACACCGAUGGCGAAGGCGGCAUCCUGGACCGGCAUUGACGCUGAGGAGCGAAAGCCAGGGGAGCAAACGGG
rnacentral:rRNA from 1 species